rnacentral:rRNA from 1 species
GACGAACGCUGGCGGCGUGCUUAACACAUGCAAGUCGAGCGGUAAGGCCCUUUCGGGGGUACACGAGCGGCGAACGGGUGAGUAACACGUGAGCAACCUGCCCUUCUCUUUGGAAUAAGCGUUGGAAACGACGUCUAAUGCCGAAUAUGACCUCCCGCUGCAUGGUGGGGGGUGGAAAGCUCUGGCGGAGAAGGAUGGCUCGCGGCCUAUCAGCUUGUUGGUGUGGGUAAUGGCCCACCAAGGCGACGACGGGUAGCCGGCCUGAGCGGGUGACCGGCCACACUGGGACUGAGACACGGCCCAGACUCCUACGGGAGGCAGCAGUGGGGAAUAUUGGACAAUGGGCGAAAGCCUGAUCCAGCAACGCCGCGUGAGGGAUGACGGCCUUCGGGUUGUAAACCUCUUUCAGCAGGGACGAAGCGAGAGUGACGGUACCUGCAGAAUAAGCCCCGGCUAACUUCGUGCCAGCCGCCGCGGUAAAAC